UACAUGGGGUGCAAACGUUGCUCGGAAUUAUUGGGCGUAAAGCGCACGUAGGCGGUUCGUUAAGUCGGAUGUGAAAGCCCUCGGCUCAACUGAGGAAGUGCACCCGAAACUGGCGAGCUUGAGUACGAAAGAGGAUCGCGGAAUUCCCGGUGUAGAGGUGAAAUUCGUAGAUAUCGGGAGGAACACCGGUGGCGAAGGCGGCGACCUGGACGGACACUGACGCUGAGACGCGAAAGCGUGGGGAGCAAAGCAGG
rnacentral:rRNA from 1 species